ensembl:lncRNA novel transcript
GCCCAGGUCCCCCCGGGCGUCGAUGAAUGUGGGGUACCAUUCCUUGAUGAUGUGGUCAUGUUUGUAGUCGGCCUUAUUGUCCUUUAGAUGUUCCACGGUGUUCCGCUCGCUCUUCUCAUAGGCCUCCCGGGGCUUCCGGACAGACACCUUGCAUUCUCGGACCUUGUUGACGAUGAAUUCUUGGAUGAGAAACCUGAUAUCUUCCAUGAGGCAGUCAUCAUAAAGAAGUCUGAAUAUCUUGGUUGAGAGCUAGACUUUGGAAACAGAGAGACCCUGUAUAAUAACAGACUAAGAAGUAAGGAAGACAAGCCCAGCCAGUCCCACAACUAUUUCAUUAAUACCAGAAAAUCAGCUCUGUUACAUCUGCCGCCUCCUGUGAGCACAAGGCACAGAAAGUAGACCCUGUAACCCUCAGAGGGCCUGAAGGAAAGCGAUGCUGGUGUGACCUGCCCAAGAGGAUGGUGCCCAAGGCAGAGCAUUCUAGACCCUCAUAGGCAACAGAGCCAGAAUCUAUUGAAAUAUUAUUUUUUUCCGUGCAUCCACAUUUGUAAGAACACUGAUGGAUAUGAUGGUUUCUGUUUCAUCAAUAUUAAUUUAAAGCUGCUGAAUAUCCUUGGAGAGCUAAUCAAGAAGGUAGAAGUUUUUCCACAUUAAUGUUGUCAAGUGACAGUAGAUUUAAGAGGAAUGGAAGUGAGGAUACAGAGAAUGCACAAACGGGAACCAUGUGAGGACAGUGAGAAGGUGGCCAUCUACAAGACGAGAUGAGAGGCCUCAGAAGAAAGAAACCAAAUCUACAGACACCUUGAUCUUCAACUUCUGGCAUCCAAAACUAACAAUACCAUCAGAUGGAAGACAUCUGGAGUAUAUUUUCAAGCUCUAUAUUACAGAUCUCUUAAAAAUCAGAAAGUAAUUAGGCAAAGGAGAUAAAGAAGUAAAAGCAUGUUUAUUAAAAAAAAUUUACCAAGAAUAUGGAAACAUUAUAAGAACAAUCUGUUCUGUAAAAGAAGUACUACCUUGAAAUAAUAAACUAUAAGAGACUGAAUUUUAAUGGACUUUUCUUAAAUAAUGAUGAUUCUAAUGCAAACACUAACUUUGUUUUUCAUAUAAAAUUUUCUAAAUUGUUUUACCUAGCCAUUUUAAAAAACACGUUAGCAAGUUUUGUGUUUGGGAAAUAAAAGAACAUACAGAAGAAAAAUUACAGUGUAUUAUUUUUCUCAUAAGCAAUUUAUAUUUCACAUUUUUCUAAUGAAAUUAACAGAAUCACUUACCUUCUUGAAUACUAUUUCAGAAUCAGCCAGUUUAAUUUAUGGGUAACACUAUUUUAAAAGAAAAAUGCUACCUUUAAUAUUAUUUUGUUAAUUAUAAUUUAUUUGUUAAAUGUCUGGUAUGAAUGUUUUUAGUGAUUUAAACAUAUUUUUCAGUAACUUGGCAAAUGAUGGAAAAAUCUGUUAUUACAAGCAUAAAUUAGACUUAUUUAAUCCUUAUGUUAAGAAAACUAUAUGAAAUGUUUCUAUAGCUGAAAAAAAGUUAAUGUUAUUAAACUAAUUUUAAACCAUAA